GGCAAAUGAAGGCAAAUCGAGGAACCUUUUCAGUACAUGUAUUGCCAUGUCAUUGUGCCAUCUUCUGGAGCAGAGGCUACAGGGAGACUGGUGCCGCUGCAACUCACAUGUCCCAGCAAGCUGCUGCUUACGACUCCUUUGCUUCGCCUCCCAGAGCUGCGUGCAUGCACUCAGGGCCUCUCUUGUGCCCAAAGAACUCUGUUGCAGCCAAGCUGUAGGAAUUAUCCAGUCAUCAGAGGGAAGACGUCUCCGUUUCUACAUAAAUGCUAUCUGCGCGUGUCAGGUCAUUGUGUUCCGGCACAGUCUUUGGGAGCUGACACCGACACUUGAGCAGAUGUGCGUCUUCUGGUUUUUGUGGGAUCAGCGAUAGCAUGUGACUUCUCUAGUAGAGGACUGAGAUUUCCCUCGUUUUCCACUGCACCCAAUGGUGACCUGCUGACUUCGGGUAGCUCUCACGUUAAGACGGCAGAGGCAGCUGCACCAAAUCUCCUCUCAUCAUUAUCCCAGAUGGAUGAGAGCUCUUCCCAGCUGCUGGUGUUCUGUCACUUUCUUUGGUGUGGGCUGUCCUGGAAGGUGUGUGAACUUCGAUGGGGCCACUCUCUGAAGCUGAGGCUGACCCUGAAGAGGCUGACAGAGGCUGUCUGUUCACUGUGCUGCCCACACCUGGCCAGCAAGUUCCACCUUGAAGAAGCAUCUCGACAUCAGAUAGCCUGCCAUACGUCGUGUCUAGACAAGAUUGGAAAAAAUGAGAUCGGUUACCUCCGGGCAUCCUCUGAUCUCACCAGAGUAAGAACUCCGUUCACUACAUAAGUGUCUCAUGUGCGACCAGACGUGUAGAAAGCCGAAAGCACCAAGUGGCACGGGUCAUUGCCGUGAGCUGCUUGGAAAGUCAACUCUGAGAUGGAGAUGAGCAUCGAGGAGUUUGUUGGGGCGUGUUCUUGGGACCACCCACUCUGGGAGGGGAGUGAGGGAGGUGGCCUGGGCAGAAGGAGAAGCUGGCCUGUGAGGAGGGCCUCAACACAAGCCAACCCAAGCUCCCGUGGGGAGCCUCGAAGCCGGGCCAGGUCUUUCUACCUCUCCGUAAACAAGUCAUUGAACCUGGGCACCCUGGGAAGAGGACGUGGCCAUGUUGAGAUGCCACUUUUCAUCUGAAGCAAGUCUGAGGAGGGCUGAUGGCUGGGGCUUUCUCCGGAAGCCCUCCUGGAAGCUUCAGGAAUAAUCCUGAUGGGUCUCUGAGGGGUACCUCACAGCAUCCCCACUGGAAGUGGACUGAGCCUGUCCCGGCUAACUUAGGCCACUGGUACCGUUGCCGCUGCUGCUGCCACCCCUGCUGUUACUUAAAGAAUCCUGAACAAAUGCUGAAAAGAGGUCACGCCUGAGACAGCAGCUAUACACGCGGCUGUCCCUGAGCAAAUAAGGAGGCAGCCACCUUGUCUGUAGCAGAGUUCAAGGCAUGAUUUCCAGGAGAAAGGACGACUUACGUUUACCAGCCUUGAAAGGAUAGAGAGGUUCUGUCAUCUACAGUGGAGCUACAGAUGGCAGAAAAGAUCAAAGGACAAUGAGGACUCUCAGGAGAAGCUGAUAAGGUAUGUUGAGCUCAGAACUUUUAUUGUCCCUAAUUUUUAAAAGGAGGUUGAAUAGAAUUUGGAAAGUGAAUGACAUUUUGCUUUGUUCUUGUUUCUUUGAUGAGAUUUACUCAUCAGAAAGUGAUGAUGUUUGCUA